rnacentral:rRNA from 1 species
GAUGAACGCUGGCGGCGUGCCUAAUACAUGCCAGUCGAGCGAACGGACGAGAAGCUUGCUUUUCUGAUGUUAGCGGCGGACGGGUGAGUAACACGUGGAUAACCUACCUAUAAGACUGGGAUAACUUCGGGAAACCGGAGCUAAUACCGGAUAAUAUUUUGAACCGCAUGGUUCAAAAGUGAAAGACGGUCUUGCUGUCACUUAUAGAUGGAUCCGCGCUGCAUUAGCUAGUUGGUAAGGUAACGGCUUACCAAGGCAACGAUGCAUAGCCGACCUGAGAGGGUGAUCGGCCACACUGGAACUGAGACACGGUCCAGACUCCUACGGGAGGCAGCAGUAGGGAAUCUUCCGCAAUGGGCGAAAGCCUGAAGGAGCAACGCCGCGUGAGUGAUGAAGGUCUUCGGAUCGUAAAACUCUGUUAUUAGGGAAGAACAUAUGUGUAAGUAACUGUGCACAUCUUGACGGUACCUAAUCAGAAAGCCACGGCUAACUACGUG